rnacentral:rRNA from 1 species
CCCUUAAAUGUUCUGGGCCGCACGCGUGCUACACUGAGUGGAUCAGCGGGUCAGGUUGCGCGAAAGUGUUUCCUAAUCUUUAAAUCCGCUCGUGAUGGGGAUUGACGGUUGCAAUUUUCCGUCAUGAACGAGGAAUACCUUGUAAGCGCGGGUCAUCAUCCCGCGCUGAAUACGUCCCUGCCCUUUGUACACACCGCCCGUCGCUCCUACCGAUUGAGUGGUCCGGUGAGGCUUUGGGAUCUGAGCGGAAAGAGCGUUUCGCUGUUUCUGCCCGGAAAACUCAGUCGAACCUUAUCAUUUAGAGGAAGGAGAAGUCGUAACA